rnacentral:rRNA from 1 species
GACGAACGCUGGCGGCGUGCUUAACACAUGCAAGUCGAACGGAAAGGCCCUGCUUUUGUGGGGUGCUCGAGUGGCGAACGGGUGAGUAACACGUGAGUAACCUGCCCUUGACUUUGGGAUAACUUCAGGAAACUGGGGCUAAUACCGGAUAGGAGCUCCUGCUGCAUGGUGGGGGUUGGAAAGUUUCGGCGGUUGGGGAUGGACUCGCGGCUUAUCAGCUUGUUGGUGGGGUAGUGGCUUACCAAGGCUUUGACGGGUAGCCGGCCUGGGAGGGUGACCGGCCACAUGGGGACUGCGGGAGGGCCCAGACUGCAACGGGAGGCAGCGGGGGGAAACCUUGCACAAUGGGCGGAAGUCGGAUGCAGCGACGCCGCGUGCGGGAUGACGGCUUUCGGGGUGUAAACCGCUUUAGCCUGUGACGCCGCGGGAGUGACGGUAAUGGGUAAAGAAGCACCGGCUAACUACGUG